GAUGAAGAACGUAGCGAAAUGCGAUAAGUAAUGUGAAUUGCAGAAUUCAGUGAAUCAUCGAAUCUUUGAACGCACCUUGCGCCCUUUGGCCAUUCCGAAGGGCAUGCCUGUUUGAGUAUCAUGAACACCUCAACUCUUCAUGGUUUUCCGUGAUGAGCUUGGACUUUGGGGGUCUUGCUGGCCUAUGGUCAGCUCCUCUAAAAUAAAUCAGCUUGCCAGUGUUUGGUGGGUAUCACAGGUAUGAUAACUAUCUACGCUUGUGGUUUUCCACCAGGUAACCUUCAGCAGUGGAGGUUCGCUGGAGCUCACAGAUGUGUCUCUCCUCAGUGAGGACAGCUCUUUGAAUGUUUGAUCUCAAAUCAGGUAGGACUACCCGCUGAACUUAAGCAUAUCAAUAAGCGGAGGA
rnacentral:misc_RNA from 1 species